rnacentral:rRNA from 1 species
UACGUAGGUGGCAAGCGUUGUCCGGAUUUACUGGGCGUAAAGAGCGCGCAGGCGGUCGUUCAAGUCGCGUGUGAAAGCCCCCGGCUCAACUGGGGAGGGUCACGCGAUACUGAUCGACUCGAAGGCAGGAGAGGGUAGUGGAAUUCCCGGUGUAGUGGUGAAAUGCGUAGAUAUCAGGAAGAACACCAAUGGCGAAAGCAGCUUUCUGGGACGGUACUGACGCUGAGACGCGAAAGCGUGGGGAGCGAACAGG